UACGUAGGGAGCAAGCGUUGUCCGGAAUCAUUGGGCGUAAAGCGCGCGUAGGUGGCCCCGUAAGUCCGCUGUGAAAGUCAAAGGCUCAACCUUUGAAAGCCGGUGGAUACUGUGGGACUAGAGUACGGAAGAGGCGAGUGGAAUUCCUGGUGUAGCGGUGGAAUGCGCAGAUAUCAGGAGGAACACCGGUGGCGAAGGCGGGUCUCUGGGCCGAUAUUGACGCUGAGGAGCGAAAGCGUGGGGAGCGAACAGG
rnacentral:rRNA from 1 species